rnacentral:rRNA from 1 species
UACGUAGGUGACAAGCGUUGUCCGGAUUUAUUGGGCGUAAAGAGCUCGCAGGCGGUUCGGCAAGUCGGAUGUGAAAUCUCCACGCUCAACGUGGAGGGGCCAUCCGAUACUGCCGUGACUCGAGUCCGGUAGGGGAGUGUGGAAUUCCCGGUGUAGCGGUGAAAUGCGCAGAGAUCGGGAGGAACACCCGUAGCGAAGGCGGCACUCUGGGCCGGUACUGACGCUGAGGAGCGAAAGCGUGGGGAGCGAACAGG